rnacentral:rRNA from 1 species
GGGGAAUAUUGCACAAUGGGCGAAAGCCUGAUGCAGCGACGCCGCGUGAGGGAUGGAGGCCUUCGGGUUGUAAACCUCUUUCGCUCAUGGUCAAGCCGCAACACUGGUUGUGGUGAGGGUAGUGGGUAAAGAAGCGCCGGCUAACUACGUGCCAGCAGCCGCGGUAAUACGUAGGGCGCGAGCGUUGUCCGGAAUUAUUGGGCGUAAAGGGCUUGUAGGCGGUUGGUCGCGUCUGCCGUGAAAUCCUCUGGCUUAACUGGGGGCGUGCGGUGGGUACAGGCUGACUUGAGUGCGGUAGGGGAGACUGGAACUCCUGGUGUAGCGGUGGAAUGCGCAGAUAUCAGGAAGAACACCGGUGGCGAAGGCGGGUCUCUGGGCCGUUACUGACGCUGAGGAGCGAAAGCGUGGGGAGCGAACAGGAUUAGAUACCCUGGUAGUCCACGCUGUAAACGUUGGGCACUAGGUGUGGGGGCCACCCGUGGUUUCUGCGCCGUAGCUAACGCUUUAAGUGCCCCGCCUGGGGAGUACGGCCGCAAGGCUA